rnacentral:rRNA from 1 species
UACGUAGGGGGCAAGCGUUGUUCGGAAUUACUGGGCGUAAAGGGCGCGUAGGCGGCAUGGCAAGUCGGGAGUGAAAGCCCGGGGCUCAACCCCGGAACGGCAUUCGAAACUGCCAAGCUAGAGUACGGAAGGGGCAACUGGAAUUCCCAGUGUAGCGGUGAAAUGCGUAGAUAUUGGGAAGAACACCGGAGGCGAAGGCGGGUUGCUGGGCCGAUACUGACGCUGAGGCGCGAAAGCCAGGGGAGCAAACGGG